UACGUAGGUGGCAAGCGUUGUCCGGAAUUAUUGGGCGUAAAGAGCUCGUAGGCGGUUUGUCGCGUCUGCUGUGAAAGUCCGAGGCUCAACCUCGGAUCUGCAGUGGGUACGGGCAGACUAGAGUGUGGUAGGGGAGACUGGAAUUCCUGGUGUAGCGGUGGAAUGCGCAGAUAUCAGGAGGAACACCAAUGGCGAAGGCAGGUCUCUGGGCCACAACUGACGCUGAGGAGCGAAAGCGUGUGGAGCGAACAGG
rnacentral:rRNA from 1 species